UUUUUUGUUUUUUAGGGGGGAGGAAAAAAUGGAAAUGAAAAUUAUUUGGCAAUUGAACCUGACAGACAAUACAAUCACAAUCCCAAUUCAUUGAUGAGAAAACCUUACCAAUACAAAUGAAAAAAUUACCCUGGCUAAGAUAUGAAGGAAUGUCCUGAGUAAUUAAUCAGACAGAGUAUGUUAAUGGCAUCUCGGGUUCCUUGGAGGUGCCCGCGUAGGGAUUUGCUCCGCCGCCGCUCUGUUGACUACUCUGCAUGGCGGCUGAGGUCGUGUUCAUGGUGGUUUGUCGUCUGGAGAUCUGGCGGACGUCUGCCGGAGCGGCUCUACGGCGGUAGGAGCCCUUGAUGCAGGAGUAGAGAUAGGUGAGAAGCCAGAAGAUCCAGGGGGAGCCGAUGAGGAUAAAGGCGGCAAUGGGGUACCAGGGCCUUGAGCUCGACGGUACGAAGACGUAGAAAAUGAGGAACGCCCCGCCGGCGGUUACGCAGAGGCAGAAGAAGGAAAAGACUAACGGAACCCUGAAAUCUCCUUCCUUUUCAUCCUCCAUUAAUGAUCUUUCACACCAAUC